GAUGAACGCUGGCGGCGUGCCUAAUACAUGCAAGUCGAGCGAACAGACGAGGAGCUUGCUCCUCUGACGUUAGCGGCGGACGGGUGAGUAACACGUGGAUAACCUACCUAUAAGACUGGGAUAACUUCGGGAAACCGGAGCUAAUACCGGAUAAUAUAUUGAACCGCAUGGUUCAAUAGUGAAAGACGGUUUUGCUGUCACUUAUAGAUGUAUCCGCGCCGCAUUAGCUAGUUGGUAAGGUAACGGCUUACCAAGGCAACGAUGCGUAGCCGACCUGAGAGGGUGAUCGGCCACACUGGAACUGAGACACGGUCCAGACUACUACGGGAGGCAGCGGUAGGGAAUCUUCCGCAAUGGGCGAAAGCUUGACGGAGCAACGCCGCGUGAGUGAUGAAGGUCUUCGGAUCGUAAAACUCUGUUAUUAGGGAAGAACAAAUGUGUAAGUAACUAUGCACGUCUUGACGGUACCUAAUCAGAAAGCCACGGCUAACUACGUG
rnacentral:rRNA from 1 species